AAGGGUUUCGCAGCCUUUGGCUGUGCAGCACUCAGAUUUUUCAGAGUUGCUACCAGAAACCACAGCCAAAGAGUGGGAUGUGUUUGCAGGGCACCAUCUGCCUUCCCUGGUGAUCCAGUGACAAACAGAGGGAGAAAGAAGAUUGGCACCAGAAGAACUUCCUGGAGCAGCUUUGGAACGGUGGCAGCCAAGUGUAUCCAGCUUGGGUCAUGGAGCACAGAGUCCCUGGUCAUAGCUGCCUGAAGUCACUGACUGUGAGCCACUCAGAGAUAAACAAAUGGACCCACUCAGUAGAACACACGGUGCCUGUAUCACCCCAUCUAAGUGCUUCGGAUGGCUGAAUGCUAAGGGGAGCCAGUGAUUUCACUUCUCUAGGCUUACCCCGAUGUAGUAGGCCCUCACUCAACAUCUGCUAACUAUCUGAUCUGACAGCACUCAGCCUGGUGCUGAUGCUGCCAGUCCAUGUC
rnacentral:lncRNA from 1 species